CCAAUAGCGUAUAUUAAAGUUGUUGCAGUUAAAAAGCUCGUAGUUGAAUUUCGGGACCAAUAUGUCGGUCGUGCUUCGGUACGUACUUGCAUUAUUGGUUUCUCCCUUCUGAGGAACCAUGAUGUCAUUAAUUUGGUGUCGUGGGAAAUCAGGACUGUUACUUUGAAAAAAUUAGAGUGUUUAAAGCAGGCUCGCGCUUGAAAACAUUCGCAUGGAAUAAUGAAAUAGGCAGUUUGAUUCUAUUUUGUUGGUUUCUAGGAUCGACGUAAUGAUUAAUAGGGAUAGUUGGGGGCAUUAGUAUUCAAUUGUCAGAGGUGAAAUUCUCGGAUUUAUUGAAGACUAACUACUGCGAAAGCAUUUGCCAAGGAUGUUUUCAUUAAUCAAGAACGAAAGUUAGGGGAUCGAAGACGAUCAGAUACCGUCGUAGUCUUAACCAUAAACUAUGCCGACUAGGGAUCGGAUGAUGUUAAUUUUUUAAUGACUCAUUCGGCGCCUUACG
rnacentral:rRNA from 1 species